rnacentral:rRNA from 1 species
UACAGAGGUCCCGAGCGUUGUUCGGAUUCACUGGGCGUAAAGGGCGCGUAGGCGGCUUUGCAAGCGUGCGGUGAAAGCUCGGGGCUUAACUCCGAGUCUGCCGUGCGAACUGUGAGGCUUGAGUCUGGUAGAGGUCGAUGGAAUUCCGGGUGUAGCGGUGGAAUGCGUAGAGAUCCGGAAGAACACCGGUGGCGAAGGCGGUCGACUGGGCCAGUACUGACGCUGAGGCGCGACAGCGUGGGGAGCAAACAGG